GCAGCUCACUCCAGCCUCUCCUGUACCUCCAUGCUGUCUCCUGUCUCAGUACUGCCUGUUCUCCAUGCUGCUGAUGGGAGUGAUCAUGUAGUAGCAGCUCACUUCAGCCUCUCCUAUAUCUCCAUGCUGCCUGUUCUUCGUGCUGCCUGUUCUGCUAUGCUGCCUCCAUGCUGCUGCCUUCUCCCUCCAGGGCAGGCAGCUUUCACAACUGACAGG